AGAACGAACGCUGGCGGCAUGCCUAAUACAUGCAAGUCGAACGAACUCUUCGGAGUUAGUGGCGCACGGGUGCGUAACGCGUGGGAAUCUGCCCCUUGGUUCGGAAUAACAGUUGGAAACGACUGCUAAUACCGGAUGAUGACGAAAGUCCAAAGAUUUAUCGCCAAGGGAUGAGCCCGCGUAGGAUUAGCUAGUUGGUGAGGUAAAGGCUCACCAAGGCAACGAUCCUUAGCUGGUCUGAGAGGAUGAUCAGCCACACUGGGACUGAGACACGGCCCAGACUCCUACGGGAGGCAGCAGUAGGGAAUAUUGGACAAUGGGCGAAAGCCUGAUCCGGCAAUGCCGCGUGAGUGAUGAAGGCCUUAGGUUGUAAAGCUCUUUUACCCGAGAUGAUAAUGACAGUAUCGGAGAAUAAGCCCGGCUAACUCCGCGCCAGCAGCCGC
rnacentral:rRNA from 1 species